GAUGAACGCUGGCGGCGUGCUUAACACAUGCAAGUCGAACGGUGAAGCAGGAGCUUGCUCUUGUGGAUCAGUGGCGAACGGGUGAGUAACACGUGAGCAACCUGCCCCUGACUCUGGGAUAAGCGCUGGAAACGGCGUCUAAUACCGGAUAUGUGAUGUGACCGCAUGGUCUGCAUCUGGAAAGAAUUUCGGUUGGGGAUGGGCUCGCGGCCUAUCAGCUUGUUGGUGAGGUAAUGGCUCACCAAGGCGUCGACGGGUAGCCGGCCUGAGAGGGUGACCGGCCACACUGGGACUGAGACACGGCCCAGACUCCUACGGGAGGCAGCAGUGGAGAAUAUUGCACAAUGGGCGGAAGCCUGAUACAGCAACGCCGCGUGAGGGAUGACGGCCUUCGGGUUGUAAACCUCUUUUAGCAGGGAAGAAGCGAAAGUGACGGUACCUGCAGAAAAAGCACCGGCUAACUACGUGCCAGCCGCCGCCGUAA
rnacentral:rRNA from 1 species